GCGCCCUUAACUCAACUGGACAGAGUAACAGCCUUCUAAGCUGUAAGUUAUAGGUUCGAAUCCUAUAGGGCGCA
rnacentral:tRNA from 2 species